GCAAGUCGAGCGGAGAUGAGGUGCUUGCACCUUAUCUUAGCGGCGGACUGGGUGAGUAAUGCUUAGGAAUCUGCCUAUUAGUGGGGGACAACAUUCCGAAAGGAAUGCUAAUACCGCAUACGUCCUACGGGAGAAAGCAGGGGAUCUUCGGACCUUGCGCUAAUAGAUGAGCCUAAGUCGGAUUAGCUAGUUGGUGGGGUAAAGGCCUACCAAGGCGACGAUCUGUAGCGGGUCUGAGAGGAUGAUCCGCCACACUGGGACUGAGACACGGCCCAGACUCCUACGGGAGGCAGCAGUGGGGAAUAUUGGACAAUGGGGGGAACCCUGAUCCAGCCAUGCCGCGUGUGUGAAGAAGGCCUUAUGGUUGUAAAGCACUUUAAGCGAGGAGGAGGCUACUGAGACUAAUACUCUUGGAUAGUGGACGUUACUCGCAGAAUAAGCACCGGCUAACUCUGUGCCAGCAGCCGCGGUAAUACAGAGGGUGCGAGCGUUAAUCGGAUUUACUGGGCGUAAAGCGUGCGUAGGCGGCUUUUUAAGUCGGAUGUGAAAUCCCCGAGCUUAACUUGGGAAUUGCAUUCGAUACUGGGAAGCUAGAGUAUGGGAGAGGAUGGUAGAAUUCCAGGUGUAGCGGUGAAAUGCGUAGAGAUCUGGAGGA
rnacentral:rRNA from 1 species